rnacentral:rRNA from 1 species
AUACGUAGGUGACAAGCGUUAUCCGGAUCUACUGGGCGUAAAGGGCGUGUAGGCGGUCUUGCAAGUCAGAAGUGAAAUUCCUGAGCUCAACUCGGGCGCUGCUUCUGAAACUGCAGGACUUGAGUGCUGGAGGGGAUAGCGGAAUUCCUAGGGGAGCGGUAAAAUGCGCAGAUAUUAGGAAGAACACCGGUGGCGAAGGCGGCUAUCUGGACAGUAACUGACGCUGAGGCGCGAAAGCGUGGGAGCAAACAGGAUUAGAUACCCUGGUAGUCCACGCCGUAAACGAUGAAUACUGGGUGUAGGGGGUAUCGACUCCCUCUGUGCCGCAGUUAACACAAUAAGUAUUCCGCCUGGGGAGUACGGCCGCAAGGUUGAAACUCAAAUGAAUUGGCGGGG